rnacentral:rRNA from 1 species
UAAUAGUGUAUAUUAAAGUUGUUGCAGUUAAAAAGCUCGUAGUUGAAUGUUGGUGUCGAACGAGCGGUCAGCUUCGGCUGUACUGCUCUCUCGACUCCUUCCUUCUGUGGACUACGUCGCACUUUACUGUGUGGCGCUAGGACGCAGAUCGUUUACUGUGAAAAAAUUAGAGUGUUCAAAGCAGGCCGUACGCUUGAAUACAUUAGCAUGGAAUAAUGGAAUAGGACGUCGGGCCUAUUUUGUUGGUUCUAGGACCGUCGUAAUGAUUAAUAGGGACAGUUGGGGUCGUUUAUAUUCCGUAGUCAGAGGUGAAAUUCUUGGAUUUACGGAAGAUAAACUACUGCGAAAGCAUUCGGCAAGGAUGUUUUCGUUAA